ACAUCAUUUCGGUGUCUUUUAAAGCUGACUAUGCGGUAUGGUUCUGCUCAUUGUUGAAGGCCGUACGGUGACCUAUAGUUGUUAAUUUCUGUGUCAUUUUGGUCUCUUGCGGAGCGUUUUCUCAUUGGCAAUCAUACCAAAUCUUCUUUUUUAUAUGUUAGCGAAUUUGUGGAUUGUUGUUACAUCAUUUUCUCGGUAUUUUAGUAUUGCCAUUUUUGACUAUUUUUUUUGUUGCUGCCAAAAAUGAAACAUCUGCUAAUACCAUUAUAUAAAUAACAACAAUAAAACUAUGCUACCUCAGCUUUUUUUUUUUUUUGGCAAAAAUUAAUUACAUCUGAUUGUUGAACUUCCGGAACCCUUAUUUGAAAAAAACGUAAAAUUGUGAAAUUCACACUUAGGAAAAACAUUGUUCCCAACUCAGGGUUUCCAACACUUAAGAUGCGCAAUUAGCAAUAAACUGUAACAAAUAAUCGAGUUCACAAACUACACGAUGCCAUUUGCGGUUCGGGUCUGUGUCUGUGUCUGUCGUGGUUUUCAACGGCAUGCUUUGGGACUGACAGAUUAUUUUGUCGUUCGACGGCCUGUAUUUUAAACUUGCGGUGAAAUAAUAAGUAAAGAAAAUGGAAUGUUUGGGUUAAACCAAGUAUUAUCAUGGUGCAAUAAACUUAUUUAAAGUUACUUUAGUUUGCAAUAAUAUCAUUUCAAAAUAUGAGAACUUGUCAUUAAAAUUUUAAAAGACGCACAUGAAGCGUUACUGUAUGAUCCUGUAUGUUUGAAUGGUAAAGUAAAACAUAAAACUUUAAUAUUCGAACUUGGAAUAUAUCCAGUAGCAGUCUUUUUUUAAGAAAUUAUGCAUUGUUUGUAUCAAAUAUUUCAAGUAAUUGAAAACGAAUAAUUUUGUUUGUUCUUAAACCCUUC
rnacentral:lncRNA from 1 species